CCUACGGGCGGCUGCAGUGGGGAAUAUUGGACAAUGGGGGGAACCCUGAUCCAGCCAUGCCGCGUGUGUGAAGAAGGCCCUCGGGUUGUAAAGCACUUUCAGUGAGGAAGAACGCCUGGUGGUUAAUACCCAUCAGGAAAGACAUCACUCACAGAAGAAGCACCGGCUAACUCCGUGCCAGCAGCCGCGGUAAUACGGAGGGUGCGAGCGUUAAUCGGAAUUACUGGGCGUAAAGCGCGCGUAGGUGGCUUGAUAAGCCGGUUGUGAAAGCCCCGGGCUCAACCUGGGAACGGCAUCCGGAACUGUCGAGCUAGAGUGCAGGAGAGGAAGGUAGAAUUCCCGGUGUAGCGGUGAAAUGCGUAGAGAUCGGGAGGAAUACCAGUGGCGAAGGCGGCCUUCUGGACUGACACUGACACUGAGGUGCGAAAGCGUGGGUAGCAAACAGGAUUAGAUACCCGAGUAGUC
rnacentral:rRNA from 1 species